rnacentral:lncRNA from 1 species
ACACUGAUAAACUCUCCCUUUCCCAAACUCAUCUUCAACCCCCUUGCACUGCCUGUUUAAUUCAGCGUCAUCAGAAAAUAACCCCAAAUGUCUUGCACUCCUGGCUUCUGCUGAUAGAGGAGAAAGGGCUUAAGACCCUGAAAAAAAAAAUUUAUAGGAAAAUUUCCCCAAAAGGUAAGCACAAUAAAAAGUCAAAAGGAGGUACGGGCUGAAGAAUGACUUCCUGCAAUGUGUAAUUUCAAGGCCUUGGCAACCACCUUUCUACUUUCCAAUUCUAUAAUUUUUAACCACUUUAGAUACUUCAUUAUUCCUGUAUCCUGGAGAAGGCAGCACUCGAGCCACCAUCUUGGAAGUGAAGAUCAGGCCCUCAGCAGACACAAAACCUGCCAGUGCCAUGAUCUUGGAUUUUUCAACCUGCAGGACUAUUCAAUGAAAUUCCAAUGAAAAUCUCAAGUUAUUAUGUGAAUAUUGAAAAACGAACCCUAAAGUUUAUAUGGAGAGCCAAAAAAUGCAAAAGAGCCAGCACAUAUUGAAAGAGAAGAACAAAGUCAGAAGAUUGACACUACCUGACUUCAAGACUUAUGAUAAAGCUUCAGUAAUAAAGACAGUGUGGUAUGGACAAACUAAUAGAAAUACAGAUCAAUGGAACAGAACAGAGAACCCAGAAAUAGAUUCACAUAAAUAUAUUGUCAACUGACCUUUGACAAAUAAGAAAAAGCAAUACAGUAGAGCAAAAAUAGCCUUUUCACUAAACAAAUGAACAUCCACAUUCAAAAAAAAAAAAUGAAUCUAGAUGGAGACUUACAUGCUUCACAAAAAUUAACUCAAAAUGAAUAAUAAACCUAAAUGUAAAACACAAAACAAUAAAAA